UCCAGACUCCUACGGGAGGCAGCAGUGGGGAAUAUUGGGCAAUGGGCGCAAGCCUGACCCAGCAACGCCGCGUGAAGGAAGAAGGCUUUCGGGUUGUAAACUUCUUUUGUCAGGGACGAAGCAAGUGACGGUACCUGACGAAUAAGCCACGGCUAACUACGUGCCAGCAGCCGCGGUAAUACGUAGGUGGCAAACGUUAUCCGGAUUUAUUGGGUGUAAAGGGCGUGUAGGCGGGAAUGCAAGUCAGAUGUGAAAACUAUGGGCUCAACCCAUAGCCUGCAUUUGAAACUGUAUUUCUUGAGUGCUGGAGAGGCAAUCGGAAUUCCGUGUGUAGCGGUGAAAUGCGUAGAUAUACGGAGGAACACCAGUGGCGAAGGCGGGUUCCUGGACAUUAACUGACGCUGAGGCACGAAGGCCAGGGGAGCGAAAGGGAUUAGAUACCCCCGUAC
rnacentral:rRNA from 1 species